rnacentral:rRNA from 1 species
UACGGGAGGCAGCAGUGGGGAAUAUUGCACAAUGGGCGCAAACCUGAUGCAGCCAUGCCGCGUGUAUGAAGAAGGCCUUCGGGGUUGUAAAGUACUUUCAGUCGUGAGGAAGGUGUUAAGGUUAAUAACCUUAGCAAUUGACGUUAGCGACAGAAGAAGCACCGGCUAACUCCGUGCCAGCAGCCGCGGUAAUACGGAGGGUGCGAGCGUUAAUCGGAAUUACUGGGCGUAAAGGGCACGCAGGCGGUUAAUUAAGUUGGAUGUGAAAUCCCCGGGCUUAACCUGGGAAUGGCAUUCAAGCUGGUUAGCUAGAGUCUUGUAGAGGGGGGUAGAAUUCCAUGUGUAGCGGUGAAAUGCGUAGAGAUGUGGAGGAAUACCGGUGGCGAAGGCGGCCCCUGGACAAAGACUGACGCUCAUGUGCGAAAGCGUGGGGAGCAAACAGGGAUUAGAUACC